GCUUGGCCACGGAGCAGACCCCAGUGGAGAUAGCAGUUCUUUAAGGCUUUCAAGCAGCUGACAAGAAACCAUCAAGUUCUGAGAGCUCCACUCCUAUGAAAGUCAACAGUCCUUCAAGAAAGAGGACCCAACUUGCUGGAGUGGCUUAUCUGGACCGGAGCCUACUCCUACCCAAGACCUGAAAGACCUCAGGGAAGAUGUCAGUGGAGGCAGCCAGAAGACUGGGGAGCCUCAGUGGUCUCAAAAGCAAGCCACAAGAAAACACUGUCACCUGGUGUGGGUCAUGGUUGGGCAGUAAUACCGAUGGCCAAAGUGUGGGGGUCACCGUGGGGAGGACUGGUGCUGGAGGAAGAGGUUGAGUCACGUUCUCUGGGGUUAAUUAUAUGGUGGAUGCUGAUGAACUAG
rnacentral:lncRNA from 1 species